CCACACACGAAACUACAAUAAUACACCGUCCAAAAAAAAGAAAUUACAAUAACACGUUUCGUAUCGUUUCGUUUUGCCCUUUGUUCAAGCCAACUUCGUUCUCUAUUUCUCUGUUCACAAACAAAUAAAAGUAUAAAACUCUUAUUUUCCCUUCUUCCAUCACACUUUCCUGCUUUUCGAUCCUUCUAGCCACCAUGAUUCCAGUUAGUGUAAAAUGGCAAAAGGAGCUUUUCAAAGAUGUAGAAAUUGAUACUACCCAGCCUCCUUAUGUUUUUAAGUGCCAAUUAUAUGAUCUAACUGGGGUACCUCCUGAAAGACAAAAAAUUAUGGUCAAGGGUGGUCUGUUAAAGGAUGAUGCUGAUUGGUCAACAUUAGGAGUGAAAGAGGGACAAAAGUUAAUGAUGAUGGGUACAGCAGAUGAAAUUAUUAAGUCUCCAGAGAAGGGAACUGUUUUUGUUGAAGAUCUUCCUGAAGAAGAACAAGUAGUUGCUGUUGGACAUACUGCUGGCCUUUUCAAUUUGGGAAAUACCUGUUAUAUGAACUCAACAUUACAAUGUCUCCAUUCUGUGCCAGAGUUGAAGUCAGCUUUGAUUCAGUACUCACAUUCAGGAAGGAACAAUGAUGUUGACCAGUCUUCUCAUCUGUUGACAGUUGCUACCCGUGACUUAUUCAAUGAGCUUGAUAAAAGUGUCAAGCCUGUGGCGCCAAUGCAAUUUUGGAUGUUAUUGAGGAAGAAGUACCCUCAAUUUGGCCAGCUGCAUAAUGGAGUGUUCAUGCAACAGGAUGCUGAAGAAUGUUGGACACAACUUCUAUAUACACUUUCUCAGUCUCUAAGAUCUAAUGGAUCCAGUGAAAAUGCUGAUGCUGUGAAGGCUCUUUUUGGCAUAGAACUUAUUAGCAGGAUUCAUUGCCAAGAGAGUAACGAAGAAAGCUCAGAAACAGAAUCUGUUUAUUCACUUAAAUGCCACAUAUCUCAGGAGGUGAACCAUUUGCAUGAAGGAAUAAAACAAGGAUUAAAAUCAGAAUUGGAGAAAGCUUCCCCUGCUUUGGGCCGUAGUGCUAACUACUUGAAGGAAUCACGCAUCAAUGCCUUGCCAAGGUAUUUGACAGUUCAGUUUGUCCGUUUUUUCUGGAAGAGAGAGUCCAACCAAAAGGCCAAGAUUUUGCGGAAAGUGGAUUAUCCUUUGGAGUUGGAUGUUUAUGACUUUUGUUCUGAUGAUCUUCGCAAAAAGUUGGAAGCCCCAAGAAAGCUCCUAAGAGAUGAGGAAGGAAAAAAGCUUGGUCUGAAAGGCAGUGAGAAAAGCUCAGUUCAAAAGGAUAACGAUGAAAAAAUGGCAGAUGCAGAGGGAUCUUCAAAUGGAGGAGGCGAGCCAUCUGUAGCUCCAAUGGAAGAGGGUGAAAAAGCUACGCAGAUGACUGGAAUAUAUGAUUUGGUUGCCGUAUUGACCCACGUUCCCUUGUGAUAUCAGUAUAGACAAGUGCAGAAAUUUGAAGGUGUUUAUUUUAGAGGCUGUGAGUUCUGUUUUUGUCUCUAACCAAUGGUUGCGUGAACUUUUUGACAAGUUUCCUUUCCUUGAGAGGUUGGAAUUAAGUGGUUGUGUUACAUCUGAGAGCCUAAUGAUCUCCAGUUCUCGCCUCAAGGUUUUGUCCUUCAAGGCUUGCGUUGAGUUGAAGGAAGCUAAGAUCGAUGCGCCGAAUUUAGAGUCAUGUAGAUAUUAUGGAAACUCCAGCCACAUGCCAGCAGCUAUAUCUUUUGUGAAUUGUUCAAAUCAGGUGGAUUUUGAUUUUGGCUUCCCACUAGAAUCUCGUAUGGAUUUGAAAAGGCUUAGGGCAUUUUUCCAGAACAUAGCACCAAUAAAUGUUAUGGUAUCCUUGUAUCUUGGAAUCAUGAGAGCUUCAUCUAUUGUGUUCAAUGAAGAUGUACUACAAAAUGUUCAAGUCCCUUUGCCAAGGAUCAAAGAAUUGAGGUUAUCGGUAGCUGAAAAAACUGAAGAGUUCUGUGUGCUUCUUAUCAAUGAUUUGUUUUGGAGCUUCCGUCCUGCUAUUAUUUCUUUGAACGUGAGACUUUGCAGCAGAAUAUUCCUUAAGCUACUAUUGGAGAAGCUAAGGUGCAACAACGAGGAAGAGAGAUGCUGCAGUUCAAGUCAAAUGAAAUGUUGGUGGCAUGAUUUGAAAGAUGUCAAAGUCAGAAGCUAUCCUGAGAAAUAUGAGAACAUCAGUGAUUGUGAAGCACUCUUGGAUUCAAUGCCAUUAAAUUUUUCUUUCCCGGCUCUUCGGCUUAACUUUCAGUUAGAGUGGGACUCGUUACAUACUUCUCUGUCCGGCGGGGUCCCAGCGUCAACUAAUUCAUGCUGCAUUGAGGAUUCAUGAUUUGGUUUCCCAACAAUACAUUAUGAAGAUACCAGGUCCAACUUCAAUCGAAGACCUAUUAUGAAUCAUUGCUUGUGGUUGUUGCAUCCCUAAUGUUCUUCUACUAUGACUAAAAGCAGAAAAAUUAGCAUAAUAAUUUUGCAUAUUAGACUGAGAUGGUGGCUACUAGUAUUAUCUGAUGAUGGCACCAUGUUUCAGAUCUUGAUAAUCAAAACAAUGUAUUCACAAAUUGUGCUUAUCUAGUAUAUGAUAUUGUUGCCAUUUAGUUCUCCUUAA